UACGUAGGUGGCAAGCGUUUGUCCGGAUUUAUUGGGUUUAAAGGGUGCGUAGGCGGUUUUUAAGUCAGUGCUGAAAUACUCCAGCUUAACUGGAGGGGUGGCAUUGAUACUGGAAGACUUGAGUACAGAUGAGGUAGGCGGAAUUGACGGUGUAGCGGUGAAAUGCAUAGAUAUCGUCAAGAACACCGAUAGCGAAGGCAGCUUACUGGGCUGUAACUGACGCUGAUGCACGAAAGUGUGGGGAGUCAAACAGG
rnacentral:rRNA from 1 species